CUCAUGUCAAUGUUUUACCAAACAUAUUCAUUGUGUUAAAUUUCCAUAGCUUUUUUUUUUAAAUAGUGUAGGCUACAUGUUGAAACGUGACAUGAAAGCCUAGUACUGACAAAAAUAUGCGGUGGUUUUACAUUGGGAAAAGUGAACUAUUUUCUCCAAAGAUUUGCACUGAUUUAGCCUAUUGGUCAGUAGAGGGCAACAUAAGAUAGUCUUAACAGGUUCAGUCCGUAAUUGAGCUCUGGCUUGUAGAUACAGAGAGCCUGGUGUUGUUACCUGUGUUCCUGGGCGGUAAGCCGAGGAUGCAUGACUUCUCUCUCAUAAAUGUCAGAAUUUUUCUCUCACUCCUGUAGUCUUGGAUAAAUCCGUAACAUCUUCCCUAUCUGCCAUCCACAUCUCUAUUACAAAGCCUGAAUAUUUUCUGAGCAAGGCAGCAGGGGAUUUGGCUGGAGAAAACAGAGUUUCUGACAUGACAGAGCAUGUUUUUGGAUAAUGGUUAUUUUUCUCUCUCUCCUCCUUCUGCCGUCUUCACAUUCAGAAGCUUCUCUCUGUACCAGUGCCAUUACUUAUGAGAUGGCCAUUGUUCAUUGUGAGGAGCUUUUGAAGUGAAUGGAGAAAGGAGCACUGACUGUAGCAAAUUACCUGGGCUGAAACAUUUUUGACAUAAGUCCUAAGAGGCGGGUGAGCCACUUCUCCUGGAGGCCCCAUCGGGAGCGUUUAAUCUCGGGCCAUGAGAGGCAGCAUUGCUGACAGACUGACAGGACAGCUGGACACGCUUCCAGGCGGCAGUGACGGACACGCCAGUCUUCGGAGCAGGGCUACUGCCCAUGCAUCACCACAAAGCACCAUGAUGAUGGCAGCAGGGGGCAGCUGA
rnacentral:lncRNA from 1 species